AGAGUUUGAUCCUGGCUCAGGACGAACGCUGGCGGCGUGCUUAACACAUGCAAGUCGAACGGUGAAGUCGGAGCUUGCUCCGGCGGAUCAGUGGCGAACGGGUGAGUAACACGUGAGUAACCUGCCCCCGACUCUGGGAUAACUGCUAGAAAUGGUAGCUAAUACCGGAUAUGACGACUGGCCGCAUGGUCUGGUCGUGGAAAGAAUUUCGGUUGGGGAUGGACUCGCGGCCUAUCAGGUUGUUGGUGAGGUAAUGGCUCACCAAGCCUACGACGGGUAGCCGGCCUGAGAGGGUGACCGGCCACACUGGGACUGAGACACGGCCCAGACUCCUACGGGAGGCAGCAGUGGGGAAUAUUGCACAAUGGGCGAAAGCCUGAUGCAGCAACGCCGCGUGAGGGAUGACGGCCUUCGGGUUGUAAACCUCUUUUAGUAGGGAAGAAGCGAAAGUGACGGUACCUGCAGAAAAAGCCCGGCUNCCAAAGGUUCA
rnacentral:rRNA from 1 species